UACGUAGGGUGCAAGCGUUAAUCGGAAUUACUGGGCGUAAAGCGUGCGCAGGCGGUUUUGUAAGUCUGUCGUGAAAGCCCCGGGCUCAACCUGGGAAUUGCGAUGGAGACUGCAAGGCUUGAAUCUGGCAGAGGGGGGUAGAAUUCCACGUGUAGCAGUGAAAUGCGUAGAGAUGUGGAGGAACACCGAUGGCGAAGGCAGCCCCCUGGGUCAAGAUUGACGCUGAGGAGCGAAAGCCAGGGGAGCAAACGGG
rnacentral:rRNA from 1 species